rnacentral:rRNA from 1 species
GGCCAAGUUUUUAAGGGCGCACGGUGGAUGCCUUGGCACCAGGAACCGAUGAAGGACGUGGGAGGCCACGAUAGUCCCCGGGGAGUCGUCAACCAGGCUUUGAUCCGGGGGUUUCCGAAUGGGGAAACCCGGCAGUCGUCAUGGGCUGUCACCCGCUGCUGAACACAUAGGCAGUGUGGAGGGAACGCGGGGAAGUGAAACAUCUCAGUACCCGCAGGAAGAGAAAACAACCGUGAUUCCGGGAGUAGUGGCGAGCGAAACCGGAUGAGGCCAAACCGUAUGCGUGUGAGACCCGGCAGGGGUUGCGUAUACGGGGUUGUGGGAUCUCUCUUUCACGGUCUGCCGGCCGUGAGACGAGUCAGAAACCGUUGAUGUAGGCGAAGGACAUGCGAAAGGUCCGGCGUAGAGGGUAAGACCCCCGUAGUCGAAACGUCAGCGGCUCGUUUGAGAGACACCCAAGUAGCACGGGGCCCGAGAAAUCCCGUGUGAAUCUGGCGGGACCACCCGCUAAGCCUAAAUAUUCCCUGGUGACCGAUAGCGGAUAGUACCGUGAGGGAAUGGUGAAAAGUACCGCGGGAGCGGAGUGAAAUAGUACCUGAAACCGUGUGCCUACAAGCCGUGGGAGCGUCGGAUGGAAGCUUGCUUCCAUCUCGUGACUGCGUGCCUUUUGAAGAAUGAGCCUGCGAGUUUGCGGUGUGUUGCGAGGUUAACCCGGGUGGGGAAGCCGUAGCGAAAGCGAGUCCGAAUAGGGCGUUUCAGUAGCACGCUCAAGACCCGAAGCGGAGUGAUCUAGCCAUGGGCAGGUUGAAGCGGAGGUAAGACUUCGUGGAGGACCGAACCCACCAGGGUUGAAAACCUGGGGGAUGACCUGUGGUUAGGGGUGAAAGGCCAAUCAAACUCCGUGAUAGCUGGUUCUCCCCGAAAUGCAUUUAGGUGCAGCGUCGUGUGUUUCUUGCCGGAGGUAGAGCACUGGAUAGGCGAUGGGCCCUACCGGGUUACUGACCUUAGCCAAACUCCGAAUGCCGGUAAGUGAGAGCGCGGCAGUGAGACUGUGGGGGAUAAGCUCCAUGGUCGAGAGGGAAACAGCCCAGAGCAUCGACUAAGGCCCCUAAGCGUACGCUAAGUGGGAAAGGAUGUGGAGUCGCACAGACAACCAGGAGGUUGGCUUAGAAGCAGCCACCCUUGAAAGAGUGCGUAAUAGCUCACUGGUCUAGUGAUUCCGCGCCGACAAUGUAGCGGGGCUCAAGCGUACCGCCGAAGUCGUGUCAUUGCAGCAAUACGGCCAACGCCGGCUGUGAUGGGUAGGGGAGCGUCGUGUGCCGGGUGAAGCAGCACCGGAAGGUAGUUGUGGACGGUUCACGAGUGAGAAUGCAGGCAUGAGUAGCGAUUCACACGUGAGAAACGUGUGCGCCGAUUGACUAAGGGUUCCUGGGUCAAGCUGAUCUGCCCAGGGUAAGUCGGGACCUAAGGCGAGGCCGACAGGCGUAGUCGAUGGAUAACCGGUUGAUAUUCCGGUACCCGCUGUGAAGCGUCAAACAUCGAAUCCAGUGAUGCUAAGCCCGUGAAGCCGUUCCGGACCCUUCGGGGAAAGGAAAGUGGUGGAGCCGGUGACCCGAUCUGGUAGUAGGUGAGUGAUGGGGUGACGCAGGAAGGUAGUCCAGCCCGGGCGGUGGUUGUCCCGGGGUAAGGGUGUAGGCCGUGCGGUAGGUAAAUCCGUCGCACACAAGGCUGAGACCUGAUGCCGAGCCGAUUGUGGUGAAGUGGAUGAUCCUAUGCUGUCGAGAAAAGCCUCUAGCGAGUUUCAUGGCGGCCCGUACCCUAAACCGACUCAGGUGGUCAGGUAGAGAAUACCGAGGCGUUCGGGUGAACUAUGGUUAAGGAACUCGGCAAAAUGCCCCCGUAACUUCGGGAGAAGGGGGGCCACAUCUGGUGAUGAGCUUUGCGCUCUGAGCUGGGGGUGGCCGCAGAGACCAGCGAGAAGCGACUGUUUACUAAAAACACAGGUCCGUGCGAAGCCGUAAGGCGAUGUAUACGGACUGACGCCUGCCCGGUGCUGGAACGUUAAGGGGACCGGUUAGCUCCAUUUCGGUGGGGCGAAGCUGAGAACUUAAGCGCCAGUAAACGGCGGUGGUAACUAUAACCAUCCUAAGGUAGCGAAAUUCCUUGUCGGGUAAGUUCCGACCUGCACGAAUGGCGUAACGACUUCUCGACUGUCUCAACCAUAGGCCCGGUGAAAUUGCACUACGAGUAAAGAUGCUCGUUUCGCGCAGCAGGACGGAAAGACCCCGGGACCUUUACUACAGUUUGAUAUUGGUGUUCGGUUCGGCUUGUGUAGGAUAGCUGGGAGACUGUGAAGCGCUAACGCCAGUUAGUGUGGAGUCGUCGUUGAAAUACCAGUCUGGUCGUGCUGGAUGUCUAACCUGGGUCCGUGAUCCGGAUCAGGGACAGUGUCUGAUGGGUAGUUUAACUGGGGCGGUUGCCUCCUAAAGAGUAACGGAGGCGCCCAAAGGUUCCCUCAGCCUGGUUGGCAAUCAGGUGUUGAGUGUAAGUGCACAAGGGAGCUUGACUGUGAGACCGACGGGUCGAGCAGGGACGAAAGUCGGGACUAGUGAUCCGGCGGUGGCUUGUGGAAGCGCCGUCGCUCAACGGAUAAAAGGUACCCCGGGGAUAACAGGCUGAUCUUCCCCAAGAGUCCAUAUCGACGGGAUGGUUUGGCACCUCGAUGUCGGCUCGUCGCAUCCUGGGGCUGGAGUCGGUCCCAAGGGUUGGGCUGUUCGCCCAUUAAAGCGGUACGCGAGCUGGGUUUAGAACGUCGUGAGACAGUUCGGUCCCUAUCCGCUGUGCGCGUAGGAGUCUUGAGAAGGGCUGUCCCUAGUACGAGAGGACCGGGACGGACGAACCUCUGGUGUGCCAGUUGUUCUGCCAAGGGCAUGGCUGGUUGGCUACGUUCGGGAGGGAUAACCGCUGAAAGCAUCUAAGCGGGAAGCCUGCUUCGAGAUGAGGACUCCCACCUCCUAGAGAGGGUAAGGCUCCCAGUAGACGACUGGGUUGAUAGGCCGGAUAUGGAAGCACGGUAACGUGUGGAGUUGACCGGUACUAAUAGGCCGAGGGCUUGUCCUC